rnacentral:lncRNA from 1 species
CCGGCAGCGCCUCGACGCCGUCGUGGCGGUACCUCUCCCCGGCGGCGCGGUCGUCCCCCCGGGCGGGGAGCCUGGCGCCGAGGUACGCGGCGCGGAACUCGUCGUUGGUCAGAUCGGCGAACUGGUUCAUGCCGAGGCGGUACCCGUGGUCGCCGGCGCGGGCGUUGUGCGCGUCGACGAAGCGGAGGUUGUCCCAGAACACGCGGAACCGGCGGUCGUGCUCGUCGAGCGCGUUGUAGGCGCGGCCGUGCUCGGCGAGCCAGAGGUCGUACAUGGCCCGGGCCUCGGCCUCCGUCCGCUCCAGCCCCCGCGCGCCGUGCUCCUCGUUGUAGGAGAUGAUGGACAUGUCGGGGGCCGCGGAGACGGCGGUGGCGGCGAGGAGGAGGACGGCCGCCGCGGCGGCGAGCAGGCCCC